AUUGAACGCUGGCGGCAGGCCUAACACAUGCAAGUCGAACGAGUGGCGGACGGGUGAGUAAUGUCUGGGAAACUGCCUGAUGGAGGGGGAUAACUACUGGAAACGGUAGCUAAUACCGCAUACCCUCGGAUGUGACCAGAUGGGAUUAGCUAGUAGGUGGGGUAAAGGCUCACCUAGGCGACGAUCCCUAGCUGGUCUGAGAGGAUGACCAGCCACACUGGAACAUCGACACGGUCCAGACUCCUACGGGAGGCAGCAGUGGGGAAUUUUGCACAAGGGGCGCAAGCCUGAUGCAGCCAUGCCGCGUGUAUGAAGAAGGCCUUCGGGUUGUAAAGUACUUGCAGCGGGGAGGCGUUACCCGCAGAAGAAGCACCGGCUAACUCCGUGCCAGCAGCCGCGGUAAUAC
rnacentral:rRNA from 1 species